rnacentral:RNase_P_RNA from 1 species
GAGGAAAGUCCGGACUUCACAGAGCAGGGUGAUUGCUAACGGCAAUCCGAGGUGACUCGCGGGACAGUGCCACAGAAAACAGACCGCCACCCCUGACGCCUUCGGGCAAAGGGGCGGUAAGGGUGAAACGGUGCGGUAAGAGCGCACCAGCACCCCGGGUGACCGGGGUGGCUCGGUAAACCCCACCCGAAGCAAGGCCAAGAGGCCGCACCCGGUGCGGCUGCGCAGGCGCUCGAGGGUUGCUCGCCCGAGCCUGCGGGUAGGCCGCUCGAGGCACCCGGCGACGGAGUGCCCAGAUGGAUGGUCGCCGCCGCGCCG